UAACAAGGUCUCCGUUGGUGAACCAGCGGAGGGAUCAUUAAAAAUAGGGUCAAACGACUGCCCAAAACCAACCGUGCUCCUUUCCAUCAUCUUGUUUCGGUGAUCGCCUGCUGGGGAGGCCAUCGGCCGGGCAUCGCGCCCGGUGGUUGCCGAAACAAACCCAACCAAAAACUUUUUACGUUUGCAAAUAUCUUCUGAGAACUUUCUACAAGAAAAUUCACAACUCACAACAAUGGAUCUCUUGGCUCUGGCAUCGAUGAAGAACGCAGCGAAAUGCGAUAAAUAAUAUGAAUUGCAGAAUUCAGCGAAUCAUCGAGUUUUUGAACGCACAUUGCGCCCUCUGGUAUUCCGGAGGGCACGUCCGACCGAGCGUCGCGUCACCGCUCAGGCUCAGCCUGGUAAUGGGGCAUGCGGGCAACCGCAGCCCCCAAAUGCAGUGGCGGUUCCCGUCGGGUUCCCUUGCGCAGUAGAAGCAUCUCGCUGUCGCCUCGGAGCCCGCGCGGGCGGCCUGCCGUAAAACCCCCCGUCUUCCACUGGUUGACCUCGGGUCGGACGAGAUUACCCGCUGAACUUAAGCAUAUCA
rnacentral:rRNA from 1 species